GAGUUAGCCUUAGGAGUUCGCCUCACAGCCAACCUCACAGCUGGACACCUACUCAUCCAACUCAUUUCAACAGCCACUACCGUCCUCCUUCCCAUUAUACCCACCGUGUCUCUUCUAACUAUAACAAUUCUACUCCUCUUAACAAUUCUAGAAAAAGAAAGCCUGCAAG